UGCAAUCAGUGAUGAAGAUUUAUAGAUUGCUGAGUUGCUGCAGUGAUUAUGCUAUCAAAUCAAUCACCAUCUUUCGGCUGAGAUUGCA